UCUCCCUCCUUUUCUCCUCCCUCGCUUUCUUCUGCCGCAUGCGCCGUCGCUUCUCCAGUUCAUCUGAUGGGAGUACAGGAGAUGUUCAGAGUGAGGAGGCACCAGGAAAACACGGGGAGACACGCCCCAGAGGGGAGGUGACCGGGAGACACGCCCGAGAGGGGAGGUGACCGGGAGACACGCCCCAGAGGGGAGGUGACCGGGAGAAACGCCCCAGAGGGGAGGUGACCGGGAGACACGGGGAGACACGCCCCAGAGGGGAGGUGACCGGGAGACACGGGGAGACACGCCCGAGAGGGGAGGUGACCGGGAGACACGCCCCAGAGGGGAGGUGACCGGGAGACACGCCCCAGAGGGGAGGUGACCGGGAGACACGCCCCAGAGGGGAGGUGACCGGGAGACACGGGGAGACACGCCCCAGAGGGGAGGUGACCGGGAGACACGGGGAGACACGCCCCAGAGGGGAGGUGACCGGGAGACACGGGGAGACACGCCCCAGAGGGGAGGUGACCGGGAGACACGGGGAGACACGCCCCAGAGGGGAGGUGACCGGGAGACACGGGGAGACAAGCCCGAGAGGGGUGGGGAGGCCACAGGAACCCCCAGUCCCCACCCCGCAGGAUGAAGCAGGU